GUUUAUGGCCAUGCCACCCUGAACAAGCCCGAUCUCAUCUGAUCUUGUAAGCUAAGCAGGGUGGGGCCUGGUUAGUACUUGGGUGAGAGACCACCUAGGAAGACCAGGUGCUGAAGGUG
rnacentral:rRNA from 1 species